rnacentral:rRNA from 1 species
UACGGAGGAUGCGAGCGUUAUCCGGAUUUAUUGGGUUUAAAGGGUGCGUAGGCGGUUUAUUAAGUUAGUGGUUAAAUAUUUGAGCUAAACUCAAUUGUGCCAUUAAUACUGGUAAACUGGAGUACAGACGAGGUAGGCGGAAUAAGUUAAGUAGCGGUGAAAUGCAUAGAUAUAACUUAGAACUCCGAUAGCGAAGGCAGCUUACCAGACUGUAACUGACGCUGAUGCACGAGAGCGUGGGUAGCGAACAGGAUUAGAUACCCUAGAGUCCUGACUACU